CAUUCUGGGACAUUUAAGGGUUUUUGUCUGUGAGGUCUGUGCUCUGUAUUUUGUUUGCUGCUGCCGGUGUGCUUGGAAAAAGACAUCUAACCAGAAAGGAGAAGACUCCAUUAGGUCUUGUUUAAACGAAAAACUGAUUAUUUUCCUCACAGCUUGUACACCUGUCCAUAUCAUCAAACAAUCAAACUCCAAAUUCAACCGUGGCCAAGACUCUAAAGAGUUGUCGACGGACACCAGGAAGAAAAUUGUAGACGUGCACCAGGCUCGGAAGAGUGAAUCUACAAUAGGCAAGCAGCUGGGACCCCACGCAAGAUCUCAUCCUGUGGGGUCAAAAUGAUUAUGAGAAUGGUGACCAGAACUCCUAGAACUACGUGGAGGGACCUGAUGAAUGACCUGCAGAGAGCUGGGACCAUAGUAACAAAGGCUACCAUCAGUAAUGCACUAUGCCAAGAGGGACUCAAAUCCUGCAGCAUCACGCGUGUCCCCCUGCUUAAGCCAGUACAUGUUCAGGCCCGUCUGAUGUUUGCCAGAGAGCAUAUGGAUGAUCCAGAAGAGCAUUGGGGACAUGGCUCGGUCUUCCAGCAUGACAAUGAUCCCAAACACACCA